rnacentral:rRNA from 1 species
UGCUACAGCCAUACUGCCCUGAAUUCCCCACAUCUUGUCUGAUCUCAGAAGCUAAGCAGGGUCGGGCUUGGUUAGUAUUUGGAUGGGUGACUUCUCCUAGGCUGUAUUUG